rnacentral:rRNA from 1 species
CGACUUAAACGGCCGCGGUAUCUUGACCGUGCAAAGGUACCAUAAUCACUCGCCUUUUAAUUGGAGGCUAGUAUGAAUGGAUAAAUGAGGGAUCAACUGUCUCCUUUAUAUUUAUAUAACUUGAUCUUCAGGUGAAGAAGCCUGAAUACUCUCAAAAGACAAGAAGACCCUAUAGAGUUUUAUUUUAAUUUAAAUAGAACUUUAAAUACUUAUAUUAAACCUUAUUUAAAUAAAUUUAGUUGGGGCGACUAGGGAACAUAUAAAUCUUCCCCCACCACAAGAGUAAUUACUCAAACUCAUGAUCCUAACACUAGAUUAAAAGAAAGACAUUACCUUAGGGAUAACAGGCUAAUCUCCCUAGAGAGUUCAAAUUGACAGGGAGGGUUGGCACCUCGAUGUUGGCUUAGGAAAUCUUCUAAAUGCAGCAGUUUAGAAAAGAUGGUUUGUUCAACCAAUAAUAUCCUACGUGAUCUGAG